GCUGGCGGUGUGCUUUAUGCAUGCAAGUCGAACGGUCUUGAUUUAUCAAGAUAGUGGCAGAUGGGUGAGUAACACGUAAGUAAUCUGCCCUGAAGUAGGGGAUAACCCCGAGAAAUCGGAGCUAAUACCUUAUGUGAUGGUGAGGGUAAGGCUUCAUCAUUAAAGCCUUCGGGUGCUUCAGGAGGAGCUUGCGUCCGAUUAGCUAGUUGGUAAGGUAAUGGCCUACCAAGGCGAAGAUCGGUAGCUGGUUUGAGAGGACGGUCAGCCACACUGGGACUGAGACACGGCCCAGACUCCUACGGGAGGCAGCAGCAAGGAAUAUUGGGCAAUGGGCGAAAGCCUGACCCAGCGACACCGCGUGAGAGAAGAAGGCCUUCGGGUCGUAAAUCUCUCUUCCCAGGGAAGAAUAAUGACGGUACCUGGGGAAUAAGCCCCGGCUAACUACGUGCCAGCAGCCGCGGUAAUACGUAGGGGGCGAGCGUUAUCCGGAUUUACUGGGCGUAAAGAGGGCGUAGGCGGCUCUUCAAGUCGGAUGUAAAAUCUCCCGGCUUAACCGGGAGGGAUCAUUCGAUACUGCUAGGCUAGAGUACAGCAGAGGGAAGCGGAAUUCCCGGUGUAGUGGUGAAAUGCGUAGAUAUCGGGAGGAACACCAGUGGCGAAGGCGGCUUCCUGGGCUGCAACUGACGCUGAGGCCCGAAGGCGUGGGUAACAAACAGGAUUAGAUACCCUGGUAGUCCACGCAGUAAACGAUGGAUACUAGGUAUGGGGGGUAUCGACCCCCUCCGUGCCGAAGCUAACGCUUUAAGUAUCCCGCCUGGGGACUACGGUCGCAAGACUAAAACUCAAGGAAUUGA
rnacentral:rRNA from 1 species